rnacentral:ncRNA from 1 species
UCCAUUGGCGCGCGUCCACUCCACUUCAUGGGCGGCGUACAUUUCAAAAGGAGGAUCAGCCACCUGUUGGACUCACGGUGCGGCAGCGUGGAGACCUGCCGUAAUGCGGAGCGUUCCUUUGCGGACGCCUGCGAGGCGAUCGUGCGUGGGCAGGGGUCGUCAGAGUCAAGCUUAUGUCU